UAGAGACGGGGUUUCACCGUGUUAGCCAGGAUGGUCUCGAUCUCCUGACCUCGUGAUCCGCCCGCCUCGGCCUCCCAAAGUGCUGGGAUUACAGACGUGAGCCACCGCGCCCGGCCUAUAAGCAACCUGUUCUAAGUAAAAGGAAGUAUCUCUCUGUCACCCAGGCUGGAGUGCAGUGACACAAUCUUGGUUCACUGCAACCUCUGCUUCCCAGGUUUAGGCGAUCCUCCUGGCCCAGCUUCCGAGUAGCUGGGACUACAGCAUUUUAUGAAACCACAACCAGGAUUACAUAAAACCAGAAAUUAAGAUUGGUCACAGUAAAAGGGAAAACACUUAUGGAUAUGGAGAUGCCACAAAAUUAGAGUAUUUGGGAUCGAAACCAUCACCUCACCUGCCUGGACUCACAAUGAGCAAUACUCUGGGAUCUUUUGAUAUUUGUGGAUUGCAUGUUACUGAAAGCCAAUUUACCUAAUUCUGAAUAAUACCAAUGCUUAUUUCGAGAAAAUUUCAGCCUUGGAACUACACGCAUCGACCUGCUUUCCUCUGACUUCAAUCUGAGAAACACUGUUCUUAAAUAUAAAAGCACAUUGGCCUAAUCUCCCUAGGGAUGAAUCUCUAGCUUCUCACAUUAAUACACAUCGUAUUGUCUUAAGGGUGCCAUGAAUGUGCUCCGCUGCUGUUAAGAACUGGCAAUUCAAAUAUCCCUUUUCCCACCACUUGAACUAAGCCCAAGCUGAUACCAGGAUUGUGAAAGAACGAAGAUGGCAUGCUUCCUCUGAAAGUCAGUAUGUUUGCCCAGGACACAAGUAUUUUAGAAAUUGACAUUUUCUACCCUCAACAAUUGCAGUCUUCACAAUAAAUGUGAAUUUUUAAAAAGGAAGGGAAAUAUGAUUCUGAAAACAUUUAGUAACUUACUGGGAUUUCAUCUAUAUAAAUCAAAUAAAACUCUCAAUUAUUUUCU